GUGAGCCACCAUUGGCAUGCUGGGAACGGAAGUGAGGUCCUCCGAAUGAGCAGUAGACACUCUCAACCACUGAGCCUUCUUCCCUCCAGCCCAAGGAUAGGCAAGAGAGAAGAAGCAGACUGGUGAGUGAUUGCCAGGUGUUAAGGCAGAGACGAAGGUGCAUAGAAGAAAGUGACAGUGUAAAGGAUUCGGAAUGAUAGCCGAGGGAGGAAUGAAGACUGUCAAGAGAUUUUCUCAGUUUAAAGUCGCAGAGAGGUUGUACCCCCACAGUGGAAAGGCCCCUUAAGCCAUGAGACCACACAGUCUCCUUCACAAAGGUUGGACAACAACGCAUGCAGCUGAGUACACAAUGACCUCAAAAUUCAGCCUGUUACAUGAUGGCAGAUGCCAUGUGAGCCCUUUAAAGUCAACUCAAAAGAAGAAACAGAUUUUGAUGGAGUCCUACUAAUGUAUUUCAACUGGCCUUGAAAUUCACUCGAGCAGGGCAGACAUUGAACUAGCAAUGGCUACAUCAACCUCUUGAGCAGCGAAGGUAGAAGACCUCACAGACCAGACUUCAAGAGACAACCAUCCUAAGAUUUAAAAAGGAAAGAGUAAAGAAAACUCAAGUCUACUUCCUUCCCCAAAGUUGCUCAAAUGCCUAAGGAAGCCUCUUUCCUGUUCCCCUCCAUCUACACUGACUUUAAGGGUAUGUCCCUCUGAGAAGCUUCAAACUGGAGGGAAGAUGCUAGAAUUUCAUCUAUUCUAUACAGCAAAACUGGCAUUUCAAAAAAGUAAGAACAUAUUUUUAAACAUACAAAGACUGUCUCAAUUAUCUGGGCUUCUACAAUAAAAGAAGAAAUUCAAUGUAA